rnacentral:rRNA from 1 species
GCCUGGGGUGCCCCGCAGGGGAGCCCUAGCACAGGUGCUGCAUGGCCGUCGUCAGCUCGUGCCGUGAGGUGUUGGGUUAAGUCCCGCAACGAGCGCAACCCCCGCCGUUAGUUGCCAGCGGUUCGGCCGGGCACGUCUAACGGGACUGCCCGCGAAAGCGGGAGGAAGGAGGGGACGACGUCUGGUCAGCAUGGCCCUUACGGCCUGGGCGACACACGUGCUACAAUGCCCACUACAAAGCGAUGCCACCCGGCAACGGGGAGCUAAUCGCAAAAAGGUGGGCCCAGUUCGGAUUGGGGUCUGCAACCCGACCCCAUGAAGCCGGAAUCGCUAGUAAUCGCGGAUCAGCACGCCGCGGUGAAUACGUUCCCGGGCCUU